UCGAGAAUCUUCCACAAUGGACGAAAGUCUGAUGGAGCGACGCCGCGUGAUUGAUGAAGUGGUUCGCCACGUAAAGAUCUUUUAUGAGGGAAGAAAUUAUUGACGGUACCUCAUGAAUAAGGGGCUCCUAACUCUGUGCCAGCAGGAGCGGUAAUACAGAGGCCCCGAGCGUUAUCCGGAAUUAUUGGGCGUAAAGGGUGUGUAGGUGGCGUUGUUAGUCGUUUGUGAAAGAUCCGGGCUUAACCUGGAA
rnacentral:rRNA from 1 species